rnacentral:rRNA from 1 species
GAUGAAUGCUGGCGGCGUGCCUAAUACAUGCGAGUCGGGCGAACAGACGAGGAGCUUGCUCCUCUGACGUUAGCGGCGGACGGGUGAGUAACACGUGGAUAACCUACCUAUAAGACUGGGAUAACUUCGGGAAACCGGAGCUAAUACCGGAUAAUAUAUUGAACCGCAUGGUUCAAUAGUGAAAGACGGUUUUGCUGUCACUUAUAGAUGGAUCCGCGCCGCAUUAGCUAGUUGGUAAGGUAACGGCUUACCAAGGCAACGAUGCGUAGCCGACCUGAGAGGGUGAUCGGCCACACUGGAACUGAGACACGGUCCAGACUCCUACGGGAGGCAGCAGUAGGGAAUCUUCCGCAAUGGGCGAAAGCCUGACGGAGCAACGCCGCGUGAGUGAUGAAGGUCUUCGGAUCGUAAAACUCUGUUAUUAGGGAAGAACAAAUGUGUAAGUAACUAUGCACGUCUUGACGGUACCUAAUCAGAAAGCCACGGCUAACUACGUG